AUGGCAAACACAGCCGUGCCGAUGGCUCACUUCCAUAGUGAACGUUUCCUGACCGAUUUCAGGGACACUAGGCAUUAUAAAAAAAGACUGUUAGCGGUCUGCAUUAGCAGUCACCAGAGCAUCUCCAAGAUGGAGACCAAGCAGACUCAUGCCAGCCUGUUCAUAAGCCCUCUUUUAAAGAAAUGUGAUUUUAAUUAUAAUUGUGAAAAUGUCUUUGGCUUAUGUACAUGUCAUUAACAUAUAACCAAGGUGAAUCAUGUUACCAAUCUCGAGUAAUAAAAAAGACAGUCUAUUUUUGGCCCAGCACGGUUGAGUCCCUGUUUGUCUGGAGCUGAAUGGAUGGCGCUGACUGAGGACAGGCUGGUAACUCAGGUACUGCUCAAGUUCAGCAAAGUCUUAUUUUAAAUUGUUAUAUUUUUUUGGGGGGUGGCUAUUGUAUUAUCACAACUUUAUUAUAAAGAACAUACAAAUAAAAAUCAUCACACAGUGAAACUAAUCAGACCCAAAGUUUAUAUACACCAGUGAGCUUCUAUCUGUUAGACUUGACUUAUGCUUUUGCUCUUGAGCCAAGGUUUCACUUGCCCAGGCUGGACUUGAACUUGAGAUCCUCUUGAUUCAGUGUGUCUGAGUGCUAGCCAAUGAUAGCACUCAGAAUGCACUGAGCAGGGAGAGGUUACUAUGGUGACUGCAAAUAUCUUCCUCCAGUGGGGCCAAGUGGAGAAGGCAGCUAGAAGGUGGG
rnacentral:lncRNA from 1 species